AAGAACUGGACAAAAUUAAAAUGCUCUUCUGUCAUUGUAAUAGUUCAUAUGGGCACUGACAGGAGAGCAUUUUAACUUUGUCAAGUGUGUCUGCU
rnacentral:pre_miRNA from 2 species